rnacentral:lncRNA from 1 species
UAUAUAUAUAUAUAUAUAUAUAUAUAAUUUCCUAUUAAUAUAUAGAUCAUCACAACAUCAUACGUACCUGGCCCUUGUGUAUAUAGACUACUACUGAAUCAUCAGUGUUUAAAUGAUUCAUUCCAAAUUUAGAUUCUAUAUCAUAUAUAUGAUGAUGUAAUGCAUAUAUUAAUUCUUGAUCAAUCAAAUUAAAUUUAGUUUCUCUAUUGAUGUUUGAUUUUCUUUUAAUUAAAGAUGCAACAGAUUCUCUCUCAUCCUAUUGCUUAAUCUUUUUCCUUUUCAUGUUUUGUGGAUGGUAUGAUGUUUUUAUUUAAAGCUAUUGUGUGAUGGUUUUUUUUGGGUGCGGUAGUAGGCAAUUGGGUGCUCAACAUAACAAACCAACCAUUCUAUUCAUUGUUGGAAAAUUUCUAUGUGCUCUCUUAUAUAUAGUUGGGAUUUAUUAUUUAUCUGUGCCAUUAAUUAUUUCCACAUUGUUAAUUAUAUCCUCGAUCAUCAUUAUAUACUUCUUUUAAGUUCUCUUUUCAAAGGAAAAGUAUAAGAAAAGUCUUAAAGCCUACCUAAUAAUUUGAAGUGAAUGGUACAUUAAUUAGAAGGCUAAGUUUUCUACUAACAAUGAUUGUAUCAACA